GUGAGGAAUUUUCCGCAAUGGGCGAAAGCCUGACGGAGCAAUGCCGCGUGAAGGAUGAAGGCCUAUGGGUUGUAAACUUCUUUUCUCAGAAAAGAAUUAUGACGGUAUCUGAGGAAUAAGCAUCGGCUAACUCUGUGCCAGCAGCCGCGGUAAGACAGAGGAUGCAAGCGUUAUCCGGAAUGAUUGGGCGUAAAGCGUCUGUAGGUUGUUUAAAAAGUAUUCUGUCAAAGAUUAGGGCUUAACCCUAGAUAGGCAGAAUAAACUUUUAAGCUAGAGUUUGGUAGAGGCAGAGGGAAUUCCCGGUGGAGCGGUGAAAUGCGUAGAUAGCGGGAGGAACACCAAAGGCGAAGGCACUCUGCUGGGCCAAUACUAACACUGAGAGACGAAAGCGAGGGGAGCAAAUGGGAUUAGAUACCCCGGUAGUCC
rnacentral:rRNA from 1 species